rnacentral:rRNA from 1 species
CAUGCCGCGUGUGUGAAGAAGGCCUUUUGGUUGUAAAGCACUUUAAGCAGUGAAGAAGACCUAACGGUUAAUACCCGUUAGCGAUGACAUUAGCUGCAGAAUAAGCACCGGCUAACUCUGUGCCAGCAGCCGCGGUAAUACAGAGGGUGCAAGCGUUAAUCGGAAUUACUGGGCGUAAAGCGAGCGUAGGUGGCUUGAUAAGUCAGAUGUGAAAUCCCCGGGCUUAACCUGGGAACUGCAUCUGAUACUGUCAGGCUAGAAUAGGUGAGAGGAAGGUAGAAUUCCAGGUGUAGCGGUGAAAUGCGUAGAGAUCUGGAGGAAUACCGAUGGCGAAGGCAGCCUUCUGGCAUCAUAUUGACACUGAGGUUCGAAAGCGUGGGUAGCAAACAGGAUUAGAUACCCUGGUAGUCCACGCCGUAAACGAUGUCUACUAGUCGUUGGGUCCCUUGAGGACUUAGUGACGCAGCUAACGCAAUAAGUAGACCGCCUGGGGAGUACGGCCGCAAGGUUAAAACU